CGCGAGGAGGAGACACAGGCACCGACGGCUAUAGGUUCAAUGAAGCGUGGGGACUCAUCUUGUAUAAACGAACGUACACAUAUAAAGGGACGCGCAUCCGACCCGCUUUCCAGAUUCGUUCUGAGCGUGCGCUAUUGUUGUCGCGAUACGCAAGCAACCAGCGGCCACUCCCCACACCAGGUUCGGGUCAUCCAUCAUGGUCUCUCACGGGCGCGGAAGGUCCUGCGCGCUGGUUUUGCUGGUGACGCUGCUCUCCGCAGUACUCGUCACUGAAGUGCGCGCCAGGAGCGCGCUGCUGCGCCAAGACCAGCCAGGCGGCGGCUUGAUCGACACUCGCUUCUGGCAGGGAGUCCUCAACAAAACGUUGGAGGGCAAUUUGGAGCAGGCGUUCAACUUGGUCUUCGGCCGAAUGUCCGACGACAUCUCCGGCGCCAUGAAUCGGUUCACCACUUUCCUCGACGGCGUCAGGCGAAACGUCACGUCGGUGAUACAGGAUGGCGUGAGGACAAGGCCCACAGCCUGAGCGAUCGUGCCGCGAUGAGGGGCAAUAACACACCUUCUCCAAGAGGCUCAGGUGAAGAACCAUCGACGCCAAAUUGCUGCUAUCAACUCUACUUGAAGUGCAAAAAAGGACAUGCGCCCUUAGCUCAGUAUUACUGUGAAUUUGUAUGGAUUGUGGAGAAUGUAUUGUUUUGUACAUACAAUUUGUUGAUU
rnacentral:misc_RNA from 1 species